AUUGAACGCUGGCGGAAUGCUUUACACAUGCAAGUCGAACGGCAGCACGGGGGCAGCCCUGGUGGCGAGUGGCGUACGGGUGAGUAAUACAUCGGAACGUGCCCGGUCGUGGGGGAUAACGUAGCGAAAGUUACGCUAAUACCGCAUACGAUCUGAGGAUGAAAGCGGGGGACCUUCGGGCCUCGCGCGAUCGGAGCGGCCGAUGUCAGAUUAGGUAGUUGGUGGGGUAAAGGCCUACCAAGCCGACGAUCUGUAGCUGGUCUGAGAGGACGACCAGCCACACUGGGACUGAGACACGGCCCAGACUCCUACGGGAGGCAGCAGUGGGGAAUUUUGGACAAUGGGCGCAAGCCUGAUCCAGCCAUUCCGCGUGCAGGACGAAGGCCUUCGGGUUGUAAACUGCUUUUGUACGGAACGAAAAGGCUCUGGCUAAUACCUGGGGCUCAUGACGGUACCGUAAGAAUAAGCACCGGCUAACUACGUG
rnacentral:rRNA from 1 species